GCUGCCCCGCCAAGGCGGUCUGGACCGCGGCGCCGGCCGAACCGCGGCGCUCCCACAGGUGCGCAAAGGCACCCUUCCCGCGAGGGGCUCGCACAGGUGCGCGGGAACAGGUCGGCACGCAUGCGCUCUGCAGACCACCGGCCGGACUGCACAUCCCGGGCUCGGGUGGGCGCCGGGGUGGAGGGAGAGGCGCCGAGCGGCGAGGCCCUCAUGGCUGCGUUCUGCUGCACAGGACAUCUAAACAGACGUGAAAUUCUGCAGGGCCAUAAUUGAGAUAAACUGAAUCUCAGGAAGAAGAGUAUGGUGAAAUGAGAUGGAAACACCUGAUAUUCCUACAAAGAAAGUCACAGAGAAUGACCCCUGAUUGACAGACGAGGAAGGCUGUUUCACGUGUGUGCAGUGGUUGUGUUUUUCUAACAGCCACCUGACAAGUGGAUAUCCGCCUCCCCCAACUGAACAGUGUGGAUGCAAACACAAGGGCAUUGCAGGUGCCAGGAUACAGGCCAGAUACCCUGCAGCCCACCUUCAGUUUCAUCACAAAUGGGAAUCCCGAGGAAGGAAAGCCCAUGAGGUAGCUUUUUGCAGUAAAUGGAAUGAAGAUCGAGGUGGUAAAGUUGGGGCCACAGCCUGUCUCCUGUCUCCUGUCUCCGUUGGUCACUCGUUGGGGUGUGGCGAUGUGAUGGAAUGUAAGCGAUAAAGUGGGUAAACACUGACUCACUAAGAGAUGGGCAUACUCCGGUGGGUUUGACAUCUGAAAACUCAGGUCUGCUGAGAAUUAUAAUAAAGCAGCGGUCGCAGCUCCAGGUCUGUCCUAGACUUUGAAGCAUUACAGCACGGGCCGAUUCACGAACAUCUGAGCAAAUAGCCAACGUUGAAGUUUUUACGGUUCAAAAGUUCAAUGGGAGUUGGACACGCCCCUUCUCGAAGGAGAGGAGAGUGGGGAGGGCGAGAAGGGAGCAGCCUGGGAGGCAAAAAAAAAAGUGUGGACACAGAAGUGAAAUCUGAUCACUUGCCAGGAAAAGCCUGUGAACCUACAAACCCCAGCUAACAAUCGAUCAAUCGCCCUUGACCAGACAUGUGGAGCUGCUGAGCCAGAGGUCGGCUCCAGCCAGUCACAGCCCUCCCAUGGAGAACCCGGUGGCCCCCUGCGUCCUCUACCCAGGGGACGACCACGUCCACGGGGCUGAGCCCGGCGGCGCCUUUGCCCAUGGGGAGCGCGGACCGGACGGGGACCCGGGAGGCGCUCCCGGGGCUCCGGGG